CUCAGGAUAGCUGGAACUUUUAUAAAAUAGUUUUAUCAGGUAAAGCGAAUGAUUAGAAGCUCUGGGGAUGAAACAUCCUCGACUUAUUCUCAAACUUUAAAUAGGUAAGAAGACUGCAGUACUUAAUUGACUGUCAGUCUCUUGAAUAGUAAGUUCUUAGUGGGCCAUUUUGGUAAGCAGAACUGGCGAUGUGGGAUGAACCAAACGUAAAGUUAAAGUGCCUAAAAGUACGUUCAUCAGAUACCACAAAAGGUGUUGAUUCAUCUUGACAGUUGGACAGUGGCCAUGGAAGUCGGAAUCUGCUAAGGAGUGUGUAACAACUCACCAACCGAAUGAAUUAGCCCUGAAAAUGGAUGGCGCUUAAAACGUAUUACUUAUACUUACCAUUAAAGUAAAAUAGCUAAACUUUAGUAUGAGU
rnacentral:rRNA from 1 species